AAUCAACGCUGGCGACGUGCCUAACACAUGCAAGUCGAACGUGAAAGAGAGCAAUCUUGAGUAAAGUGGCGUACGGGUGAGUAACACGUGGGUUAUCUACUUUUUGGUGGGGAAUAACUUAGGGAAACUUAAGCUAAUACCGCAUAAAGUGAUAUUUUAUCUCUAAAGCAAUUUUUUGUGCCAAAAAAUGAGCCUGCGUCCGAUUAGUUAGUUGGUGGGGUAAUGGCUUACCAAGACGAUGAUCGGUAACCGACCUGAGAGGGUGGUCGGUCACACUGGCACUGAAAUACGGGCCAGACUCCUACGGGAGGCAGCAGUGGGGAAUUUUGGGCAAUGGGCGAAAGCCUGACCCAGCAACGUCGCGUGAAUGAUGAAAUCUUUCGGGAUGUAAAAUUCAUAAGUAGGGAAAGAAUAGAAAGCUUAGGCUUUCGAUGACGGUACCUUAUUUAAGCCCCGGCUAACUCCGUG
rnacentral:rRNA from 1 species